rnacentral:rRNA from 1 species
UACGAAGGGUGCAAGCGUUGUCCGGAUUUAUUGGGUUUAAAGGGUGCUUAGGUGGCUGAUUAAGUCAUGGGUGAAAGCCCGCAGCUCAACUGUGGAAUUGCCUGUGAUACUGAUUAGCUUGAGUGCGGUUGAGGCAGCUGGAAUUGGAGGUGUAGCGGUGAAAUGCAUAGAUACCACCAGGAACACCGAUUGCGAAGGCAGGUUGCUAAGCCGUAACUGACACUGAGGCACGAAAGCGUGGGGAGCAAACAGG